GUGGGGAAUCUUCCGCAAUGGGCGAAAGCCUGACGGAGCAACGCCGCGUGAGUGAUGACGGCCUUCGGGUUGUAAAGCUCUGUUAUAUGGGACGAACGGGCAUGGGGCGAAUACCCCCAUGCAGUGACGGUACCGUAAGAGAAAGCCACGGCUAACUACGUGCCAGCAGCCGCGGUAAUACGUAGGUGGCAAGCGUUGUCCGGAAUUAUUGGGCGUAAAGGGCGUGUAGGCGGCCAGACAAGUCUGUCUUAAAAGUGCGGGGCUCAACCCCGUGAUGGGAUGGAAACUGUCGGGCUAGAGUGUCGGAGAGGAAAGCGGAAUUCCUAGUGUAGCGGUGAAAUGCGUAGAUAUUAGGAGGAACACCAGUGGCGAAAGCGGCUUUCUGGACGACAACUGACGCUGAGGCGCGAAAGCCAGGGGAGCAAACGGGAUUAGAUACCCUUGUAGUCC
rnacentral:rRNA from 1 species